CGGGUGAGUAAUGUCUGGGAAACUGCCUGAUGGAGGGGGAUAGCUACUGGAAACGGUAGCUAAUACCGCAUAACGUCGCAAGACCAAAGAGGGGGACCUUAGGGCCUCUUGCCAUCGGAUGUGCCCAGAUGGGAUUAGCUAGUAGGUGGGGUAAUGGCUCACCUAGGCGACGAUCCCUAGCUGGUCUGAGAGGAUGACCAGCCACACUGGAACUGAGACACGGUCCAG
rnacentral:rRNA from 1 species